GGUUCGAUGGCGUAGUUGGUUAUCGCAUCUGUCUAACAUAUUCUGGUGAUAAGUUACACAGAAGGUCCCCGGUUCGAGCCCGGGUCGAAUCA